UUUAUAUCAAUCAUGGAGGCUAGUGUCUGCUCACAGGAUGGAAAUUUCACCCUUUAUUUUGUUCUGCUACCAGGUUUGACUGAAGAAACUUGCUCGACUGGGCUCAUCUGUGCUUUUCAGGCAUGCCAAGAAAAUGGUUUAAAUUGCAUAUGGUUGACAACAGAAGACUGUCUUCAGUUUGCUCCUACUAAACAGGAUGUGUUUAUUUGUGAUCCAUUUGAAGGAAAGGCUUUCAACCAUCUUACAAGUGGUUUCAAAUGCAUGGUACUGGGGCCACGUUGUAUUCUUUCAUCUAUCCACCGCAAGGAACCUAUACCUCAGCUCCCUUCACCUAUACAUAAUACUGCAAUGAAGGGUCUUGUCAUCACUACAUCUGGAUUUAGAAAAGAAGCAAAGGCAGAACUCCAGUGUCUGGUUGAGAGGAUGGCAGGCAUCUACUUAAACAUCUUCCAUACAAAUGUCACACACGUAGUAGCAAAUUCUGUGGGAAGCGACAAAUAUUUUGUUGCAGUAAAAGAAGAAACUCCUAUAAUGACUGGUGAAUGGGUGAAAGCUGUAUGGAAAGCUGCAAGUGAGGAUUUUCGUGAAGAUAUAUUAGCCACUGAUGAACAGUUUCUGUCCUAUGCAUGUCCAGUAUUUAAAGGCCUUGUUAUAUGUGUGUCUCAGAUGCCCCGCAAAGAAAAAGAGGCACUAAAAAAAAUAAUUGAGGAAAAUGGUGGCACAUACUCCAGUACCUUGGACAUGUCUGGUACAUCUGUGCUUAUUAUACCCACUCCGGAGGGGGAUAAGUACAGCUAUGCUCGAAACUGGCGCAUACAGUGUUUGACUCCUGAUUGGAUCUAUGACUCUGUUGAGCAUGGCUCUGCUGUUCAAAUGGAUGGCUAUAAAGUUACAAAUCGUGGAGCCUCUACCCCAACCAGCGAUACUAGUAAUGCAAAUAUACUUCCGGACAUUUCUCUUUGUAGCACCAUAAAUAUGACAGCAGUGUCAAAAAUGUCACAAGUGAAUGAGACGGUAAAUAUGGAGACAUCAAUGGCUUUGAAAAAGGAAUCUGUUGCUGAUGAGAGAGUGAAUCUUGGACUGGAAGCUAUUGAAAAUCUAGAUUUGCAACAAGCAUUGAAAGCUGGAGUCUUUUUGGAUGGAUGCAAGAUCUUCUUGUUUGGAUUUACCACAGCACAUAUGGAAAAGCUGCGCCGAGUCCUUAACGCCGGAGGAGCAACUCGCUUCAAUCAACUGAAUGAAUCUGUUUCUCAUGUUGUUUUAGGAAAAAGAGGUGAAGAACUCCUCAGUGCUACCCAGACAUGGAUGGCCAAGCCCCAUGUUGUUUAUGCUGAUUGGAUUAUAGAAAGCAUCAAACAGAAACGACCGGCAGAUGAAUCUCCAUUUGCCUAUUUGCUGGACCCUGAAAGCUGUAAUAUUUCGAAGAAAGCAGUUAAAAUUUUGAAAAGUUCUACAUCUACUUCACCAAAUAAUAAUGAAACCUUUGUGGAUGAAGAAAUUCUUAAUCAGUAUUUAAAAGCACCAAAAUACGAAGAUGUAAAGGAUGUCACUGUGAAUGAAUCGGCUAAUAUGUCUUCUCUCCCAGACUCUCAAGCUUCUUUCUUGCCAGGAAUAUUCAGUGGAAAAGUGUUUACUGUGUCUGGUUACAGUGAGGAGACAGUUGAGGACAUAGUUACAGGAAUCCUUGAUGAAGGAGGAAAAAUUGUUCCCCUAAAUUACCAGGGCCAUGUUCAUUUUUCAUUGCUGAGCACUGAGGGACGUGGAACAAUUCAUUCCAAAGCAGAAGAAGUAAUAUCACCAGUUUUCAUUGAAGAUUGUUUAGAAAAGAAGGAACUUGUACCUGUCGAUUAUUAUCAUCUGCCACUGUAUCUUCAGGAGGGUUCAAAAGCUCUUGCUGAUUGCAGUAUUGCUAUCUCCACGUACAAGGGAAAAGAGAGAUCUUUUCUUGUGAAUAUUGCAACUGCUCUUGGUGCUGUAUUUCAGGAGGUAUUUGCCAAAAAAUCUAGUACAGCAAAAAAUAUCAAAGCCUCCACCCACCUUGUAUGCCCAGCAGCUGAGGGUGACAAGUAUCGUGCUGCUGUUAAAUGGGGUGUGCCAGCUGUUACACGUGACUGGUUGCUUGAAUGUGCCCGAACCCUCAAGAAGGAACCAGAAGAUAGUUUUAAGGUUGACAGUAAACAUUUCUGUGAUAUGGACAGGAAAGGUCUUGUAUUAGGGAUUCUUGAAAGAGGUGAUUAUAGUAAUAGUACCUAUUGUCAUGUUGAAGAGACAAUGGAAAGAAAUGAUAGUUUAGUUCCAGAAACACCUGUGAUUAAGCAGGUUAAAACUCUUCGGGAACAUUCCCUCAUUUCUCCUUCAAAAAUAAAGACACCGGAUCCUGAAAGUUUUAGAAAACUUUAUCCUACACCUGGCGUGUCUAAAAGUAACAAGAGUCUUUCCGAGAUGCCUACUCCAGAGACACCAUAUGGAAGCACAUGGUUUCCUAAUCCAUCUUCCACUAUAAGAAAGGGAUUCAAGCGCCUUAUAGAUUCUAUUCCAGAUCCAGCACCAGUGAAACGUAGAGUUCCACCAGGGACUCCCUUAGAAGUGUAUUAUAAAAGGUUCUGUAAUGAUGUGAAAGAAACUGUGCAGAAUUAUAAACCCAAGGAGCCUGUUUGGUUACAAAAAGCUCAGCAUGAAAGUGACACAAUGCUAGCAGCUGAUAAUCACGGUCCAUUGACAGGUGUGGUGGUGUGUACAUCCCGUAAACUGCAAGACCAACAGAAAGCCUUGUAUCAAUGUGUGACUGAGCUAGGAGGAGAUUAUCGUUGGUCCUAUGAUCACACAGUCACACACUUUAUCUUUCAUGGACAAAAUAAUGAUAAAAAUAGAGAAUUCAGAAUAGCUCGAGAACAAGAAAAGUUUAUUGUUGCUCCUGAGUGGGUGUGGAUGUGUCGUGACGAGAACAAAAAAAUAGACGAACUUCUGUUUCCACAUACUCAUAAUGCAAAACUGUCACUGUCCAUCAUCAGUGCCAAGACAACACCAGUUGCAAAGAGAGGUCGACCAAAAAAGAAAAAUCUUUUUGAGGAUACUCAUGAGGACAAAGAUAAAAUGAAUUAUGAUGAGGAGGGAGAAGAGACAGGACAGAGCAGUGAUAAUGAGGAGAAUGUAGAGAAUGACGAGCAAAAGAAAACUGUGUUAUCAAAACAACUAGAAGAGAUUGAGGCUUUGGCAACUAAUACUGGAUCAGGACGAAAGAAUUCUGGGGCUAACAGAAACAGAUCUAUUACCGAGAAAUUAAAACAAACACCAACUAGACCCAUGAAUGUUGAAACUCAAUCAGUUCCUAUGGAUGUUCCCGAGUCCCAGAAUACAGCUAUCACGUGGGAUGAUCCUGAGGAGCGUGAGGCGAGAUUAAAGUUAAAAAACCAGCUUACGAAAGAUACACAGGAUAUUAUUAUCCAGAACCAGCUGCUGUCUUCAGAGGAUAAAGAGGAUGACAAGGAGAAUUCAUCAGUGGAAGAAGAGCACACACUAGUGAAUGAAGCUGAACAUGCAUCUCCAGUGAAGAUGGCAGUCCAGUUACCCAUGCCAAAAUCUCGCUAUGUUUUUGUCUUACUAGGUAUGGGUGAAGAGGAUUUGAACAAAUUUACCAAAAAUAUUGAGGAAUUAGGAGGGGUAGUGCAUGAAGAACCAACAUUUGACCCUCAUAUUACUCACAUAGUGACACGAAAACCAUCUCGUUCAGAACGUCACUUGGGAGCAAUAGCAUCUGGGAAAUGGAUGCUACGCUGCAAGUAUUUAGAUGAUUCUGUAAAAUCUGGAUAUUUUGUUAAGGAAGAGCCAUAUGAAUGGGGCAACCCUACUACUGAAUGUUUUUCAGAAUUAUCACCUGAUAGUUCAGAAUUCAAGUUGUCUGUUGCUGCCCGAAGAUGGAGAAUUAAAAUUAAUGAUGUAUCCAAUCAAAGAAAAAUAAAGGGGGCUUUUCAAAGCAUGAUAGCCUUGGUCCAUUCCAGCCGAGAAAGAGUGGAAGCCUAUACUCGACUUAUUGAAGCAGGCGGUGGAAGAGUCGUUACAGCAAAACCCCCAUAUAAAGAAGUGGAGGGUGUUACCCAUUUUUUUCUGGAAGUAAACAAAACUACAGAAAAAUUUGACCUUGCAAGUUUUGCUGCACGUCAGAUUCCUUGUCUUCCUCCACUUUUCCUUAAUGAAUAUCUGAUUAGUGAUCCAUUACCUAAUGUGAUGAAUCACUUCAUUCCUGAAUAUAAAGCAAUUCUUGAAGAUAUGAGUAGAGCUCAUCAAAGUCCCAUUAAAAGAAUAAAGAAGAAGUGAGAGUUAUGGUAUUGGAUAAUAAACAUGCAUGUGUAUGUGCAUGCACACAUGUGCUCAUAUACGUGUACACCAAUGCACAUGCGCACAAAAACAUAUGCAUACACACACAUUGUGGUGUGUUAUUAUGUUGAUUUCAAGACCACUUGAAUUAUAAAGAAAUUCUUGCUGUGAUGAAAAAGACAGAAUAUUAAUGUGAUCCAGUUAAAAUAAAAAGUACUAAAAUUGUACUUUAAGCUUUUUUUUGAUAUUCUGGUGGUUGGUCACAAGAUAAUUAAGGAUCAAAUUAAUGUUUUUUGGCAUACCACUCAUUCCGUCCUCCAGGAUACAAGUAAACGCCAAGUUCACUUGUAGGCAUCAUUAACACUCGCCAGUCACUAGAAUUGUUAAUUACAUUAAUCAAGUAGUUCCAUGUAGAUUUAUUUAGUGAAGUGAAGAAUAUAGGAAGCUUAUGCUGUGCAGUGAACGCAGUUUAUAGUCGUUAUGAUCCAUAAAAGUGUGUGCUUGUGGUAGAAAUUAAGUUAAGAUGUUUUUAAAAAAUUUUAUGAAGAAAUACACUUUGCUUAUUUUUUUGGGUAAAUUUCAUUGAAAAGGCUGUCGGUGGGUGUUGCUCAUCCACUAAAUACUUUAUAUUCACAUUGAAGAAUUCAAGAAAGAUGUGAUAAAGGGUAGGUCACAGGUGCAUUUGUUGAUUAUGGUUAAAGGUAGAUAGAUUAUGAAAAAGUACAUAAUGCUUACAUAAAAGCAUAAACUUUUAUGCAUACAUUACCCCCACUAUUUUUUUGCUCAUUUUAGUAAUCUUCAUUUAUCAGAAUUCAUUUCUGCUCAUCAUAUGAUUUUUUCCAAGUGUGUAUUUGAAUAUAAUGUUGACUUUCAUUUAAAAAAUCAAAAAUUUUCAAUGUGCACAAAAUCUUAUUUGUUCAUUAUAUACCCUCCCUUUUCUUAGUUUUAUUUAAUUAUUUUUCACACAGCAUCUUGCAAUAUAUCUAACAUCUACACGUGUUAAACUGGCAACAUCAUUUGUAGCUUUUAUAUUUCUAAACAUUGCUGCCUAUAGGUACCUGUAAAGCACCACCUGACUAAUCUGACUUGCAUAUAUUACAUGUUUAUUCAGAUGCUUCAUUUCCUCCAACAUCUGCCAUUGUAAUUAUCUUUAAAUCAGUCCCUCUUACUUUUCCCUAUCUCAUUGUUUUUAUUUCUCUUGACUACACACAUCUUCCAUGUUUGUCAUUCAAUCCAUAAAUUCAAGACCUUACACUAAGAAAUUACUAUCUCCAUCUCUUACAGACUGCCAUUUUAUACUGUAUGGGAAGUUUGAUUCAUAAAAUUUUUAUAUUACAUACCAUAUAUGGUACGUUUACAGCUAUAGGUCCUUUAAGAUAUAAUUUUCUAAAAAGAUUAUUUACUUUCCUUUGCAUUCUACAUUUUUUAUUGAAGAUUUUAAAAUAAUACUUUUCCUUGCAUUCUUACAUCUUAGAUCUCAUUCUUUCAUAUGCACCUCUGGAGUAUUUUCACCAAUUCAUGUUAAGUACAGUGGUACCUUGCGAACUUAAUUCAUUCCAGAAGGCUGUUCGAGUGCCAAUACUGAACGAAUAUGUUCCCAUAAGGAAUAAUGUAAAUUAGAUUAGUCCGUUUCAGACUCCCAAAAAUACACUUACAUAAUUGAGUUGGGAGCUGUUCGAAACUCGAGGUACCGCUACAUUAUUCCAUUUUUACAUUAAUAUGGAAGUGUUAUACCCAUAGGGGCCAUACAACACUUGUGAAAGGGGAGGUUAUUAUUUUAAAUACAAGGAAGGGGAGGCACCACUAAUUUCCUGGAUAUAGAUCCCUUCACUCUUCCUUGAAGGUGGCAUUACCCUUCAGAGUAUAUCAUUAAUAUCCUAUUUAUCAAAAACUACGAUUUUUUUCAUCCAUACAGCCAUGUAGUCUAAUUAAAAUUUCAUUAUUGAAAUGACUAAACUUUCAUAAUCUGCCUUCACACCUGUAGUUGUAAACCAACUUUAAAGAGUACAAGCACUUGCAUGUUAAUAUCAUGUGCUCCUUCAGAAAGUCUCUCCAUCUUAUAACUGUAUGCAUAAUUAAUUGCCAUACACCUUCAUUAUGUCCCAUUUUAAUCAUCUAGUGUAAUUUAUCUUUUAUUUAAAAAAUACAUGUACAGUCUAUCUUUGUAACAUUGAGUAACACUUGGCUUACCUAAAUUUAUCACUGUUGUAACUCUGAAUUUCUAUGUAUAGUCCUAGUUUUGUAAUUAAUGUACUAGUGUACCACAUUUUAGUCAUUAACUAACUUCUUUUAUUACCUUUUUAUUUUUUAAACACCCUCAUUGAAUGUAUAUGUCACAUUUAGUAUGUUAUUGCAUCUUUUAUUUAUUGUCUGUGUAACUUUUAUUGUAGGGAAAGAUUUUUUGUUCGGACUUCAGUUGCUAACAAGGUAUGAAAUUAAUUUCAUAAUUCUUAUGUAAAAUUAAUAUUUUUUUGUACAUGUGACUAUGCUUAUCUGUUCCAGUUUAGAAAGUGAGUUAGAUAUGCAAGACACUGCAAGUGAAGUUUUUCUACUUGUGUAGUUGUAUGUAUGAAAUAUAUCAGCUUGUUCUGUAAUCUUAUUUAUUAAAGAAUAAAUCAGGCGUAUGUACAGUUCACAACUCUUGAUACUUAAUCCAAAAUAAUGUUGCACAUCAUGUUUAUAUUUCCAGAUAAUAUUAAGAAUAAAGUAAAACAAAAAUUAAAUAACUCUUAAAUUAAGAGAUGGUACUACUAAAACCUGAACUUGGUUAAAAAGACACAUUGGAGUACAGUAUUCUUUGCCAUUCAUGCUGGUGAAUGGCUCUUGAUCUAGUUAAUUGGAUUUAACCCUCCACUUCCAUGGCUCAGACCUGAUUGCCUCUCAUUUCCUGUGAACUGUAUGACCAUCACAGGUUUCGCUCCUCAUCAAUAUAUUUGUUUAAAUAGAGAACAUUUUUGAAAGCUAUUGAGUUCAUCUAUUUACAUGAUGUUAAGCUUAUUUGUUGUUAUGCUUAAGUCCACUUGAAUGAUAGUACCUUGAGGGCAGUAUAGAAGAGGAGUGUACCUGUAGUUCAUCAUAUUUUUGAUAAGUUAUCCAAGAGUGCAUAAGCUUUUUUUUUCAGCCCCUCUCCCCUUCCCUCCCAAACAUUCACCUUUAAUGCAGGUUCACUAACUUCUUAAUUGCAACUGAUUUAUAUUGUGCCAUGUGUUAUGGCCUCCUUUUUACCUUGAUGCUAAUCUUCCUGAUUUCUGAACAUUAUUGCCCUGUAAUUCUGAAUGACUGAUUUAGCUCUGUUAAUUUUUAUAUAUAUUUUUUUUUUAUCACACUGGCCGAUUCCCACCAAGGCAGGGUGGCCCGAUAAAGAAAAACUUUCACCAUCAUUCACUCCA